ACGGCUCAGUAACACGUGGACAACCUGCCCUGAGGACUGGAAUAAUCCCGGGAAACUGGGGGUAAUUCCAGAUAUGUCAGAACACCUGGAAUGGGUUCUGGCAGAAAUGCUCCGGCGCCUCAGGAUGGGUCUGCGGCCUAUCAGGGUAGUAGUGGGUGUAACGUACCUACUAGCCUACGACGGGUACGGGUUGUGAGAGCAAGAGCCCGGAGAUGGAUUCUGAGACAUGAAUCCAGGCCCUACGGGGUGCAGCAGGCGCGAAAACUUUACAAUGCGGGCAACCGCGAUAAGGGGACCUCGAGUGCUGGGUUACAAACCUGGCUGUUGGGCUGCCUAAAAAGCAGUCUAUAGCAAGGGCCGGGCAAGACCGGUGCCAGCCGCCGCGGUAACACCGGCGGCUCGAGUGGUAACCGCUGUUAUUGGGUCUAAAGGGUCUGUAGCCUGCCGGCUAAGUCUCUUGGGAAAUCUGGCAUCUCAAGUGUCAGGCUGCCAGGGGAUACUGGCCGGCUUGGGACCGGGAGAGGUGAGAGGUACCUCAGGGGUAGGGGUGAAAUCUUGUAAUCCUUGAGGGACCACCAGUGGCGAAGGCGUCUCACCAGAACGGAUCCGACGGCAAGGGACGAAAGCUAGGGGCACGAACCGGAUUAGAUACCCGGGUAGUCCUAGCCGUAAACGAUACUCGCUAGGUGUCGGCCACGGUGCGACCGUGGUCGGUGCCGUAGGGAAGCCGUGAAGCGAGCCACCUGGGAAGUACGGCCGCAAGGCUGAAACUUAAAGGAAUUGGCGGGGGAGCAC
rnacentral:rRNA from 1 species